rnacentral:rRNA from 1 species
UGGGGAAUUUUUCGCAAUGGGGGAAACCCUGACGAAGCAACGCCGCGUGGAGGAUGAAGGCCUUCGGGUCGUAAACUCCUGUCGACCGGGACGAACGCUAUUGGGCCCAAUACGCCCGAUAGUCGACUGUACCGGUGGAGGAAGCCACGGCUAACUCUGUGCCAGCAGCCGCGGUAAUACAGAGGUGGCAAGCGUUGUUCGGAAUUACUGGGCGUAAAGGGCGCGUAGGCGGUCCUGUCAGUCCCUUGUGAAAUCCCCCGGCUCAACUGGGGAACUGCAAGGGAUACAGCAGGGCUUGAGUUCGGGAGAGGGAAGCGGAAUUCCGGGUGUAGCGGUGAAAUGCGUAGAUAUCCGGAGGAACACCGGUGGCGAAGGCGGCUUCCUGGACCGAUACUGACGCUGAGGCGCGAAAGCUAGGGGAGCAAACGGGAUUAGAUACCCCCGUAGUCCCUGAGCGGGCUGGCAAGGCGCAU